UAGAUCUAUAUAUAUAUACAUAUAUAAGUACACAUCUAUAAAUAUAUAUAAAUAUAUUUAUAUAUAGGUGUACGUACAGUUGAACCAUCUCCACAUAAUAUUGCUAGGUCACAUAUAUUUCGUCACAAAAAAAUAUACACACGAUAGUGAUUCACUACCUUGCACUAAAGGGCAAAAACUUAAACAGCUUAGAUUUCAGAGUCCUUAGUGAAUUAAUAUUAUGCUUAUUCCCUUCAUUUUGAACAGGUGCGUGUGUUUCCUUCAUUUCGAUUUAAUCUCAUUUUUUUUAAACACACAACAAAAAAAAACACCCAGCAAAACAGAUCGACAGAGAGGACCACCAGAGAACCCCCCACCCCACCCCACCCCUGCCCCAUCCAAGCUUUAUGGCUAAAAAAGGAUAGUAGUGCACCACAUUGGGGAUAUAGUUUAUCAUACAAAAAAGACAUCAAGCCUCUCAGAAUUCAAGUUAUAUGGCAGCCAUUUUACGUUGUUAGGAUUACAGCUAUGGUUCUACAAACAACUUUACUACGACAUAAUGUUAUCAAUGUUAUCAAUAUUAUUAUCUUCAGUAUUAUUGUUCAAGUAGUUAGUCCACUUAUAGCUAGGUUGGAGAAAAUGGUGGUGGUAUGGUGAUGGUAUGGUGAUGAUAAUGGCGGCCUGGGUUGGGGGUUAGUGCUAGGCGGCUAGCGAUCAAGCUAAUAAAAGCAAAAUAACUUUUUUACAUUUUACAUUGUUUAAAAAAAUCUUUGAGAGAGUUAGACUUGCUGUCACUCAGAAAGGACAGAUUUAUCAAAGGAAAAAUAAUGCAGAAGUAAAAAUAAAGAAAUUAAAUCAAAUGCAUUGAAGACUAUUUUCUGUACAGCUGGAUAACUGAUGUAUUUUAGUACUUUACUUCCCUGAAAAAGUCUUAUGGGCCCCUGCGCUUUUUAAAUGAGAUGUUACACUGAGAUGUGAGAUAUUAGUGUCUAAUAUUAAUCGCUGACAUGUACCGUUAAUGUUUGACACAUAGUAAAUGGAAAUACAGCAACAAUUAUAUAUUUUUCUGUCAUUACAGGCCAGGUUCUUAGUUAUCAUUUGCUGGUAUAUUUAAAAAUUAGUCUCAACUCUUUGGCAAGACUUACCUCUCCACACACUCAAAUAUUAUUCUUCAUAUUAUUAUUAUACAAAAGGAAAAUAUAAAAGAAAGAAGGCCCUCUAAAAGCACUAGAGUGGAUGUUUGAACAGGCUUGAAGAAGGUUUCAAUAUAGAAUAAUCCAUUAAGGAUCUUCAAGUAUCAGGUCUUUUGACAUAAUAAGCUUUGCUUCAGGCAUGUUACAGUUGUAGACACCUACAAGAGGCCUCUGGUGUACAAGAGACCAGGUCCGUCCUAUUCCAACCAUAUGUUUCUAUUUAGACAAGACCGAAAGAAACAAAUGUACCUAACCGCAGCAAAGUCGGCCGAGUAAAGUGUCCGACGUCAAACUUCGGAAACCGCAGAAACUCCGGCCCCGAAGACCGUCAGCGCCACGCUGAAUAUCUUCACUGCACCGUUUAAAAAAUGUUCAUUCACAUCUCAACUAGAGCAACCCAUUAAAAAAAGAAAAAAAGAAAAAAAAGGUUGUUUCUAAAAAAACAAAAUGUCCGCCUGCUUCGGGUUUUCCCACCUCUCGAAUCGACGCCUUCCUAAACUCAAAACAAGAGUCACGUUAAAAACGUGACUCUCAGACCCCCCACC
ensembl:lncRNA